rnacentral:rRNA from 1 species
CAAUCAAUAAGCGGAGGAAAAGAAACCAACAGGGAUUGCCUUAGUAACGGCGAGUGAAGCGGCAACAGCUCAAAUUUGAAAUCUGGCCCUCGGGUCCGAAUUGUAAUUUGUAGAGGAUGAUUUUGGUGCGGUAUCUUCCGAGUUCCUUGGAACAGGACGCCUUAGAGGGUGAGAGCCCCGUACGGKUGAAUGCCUARCCUCUGUAAAUCUCCUUCGMCGAGUCGAGUAGUUUGGGAAUGCUGCUCUAAAUGGGAGGUAAAUUUCUUCUAAAGCUAAAUAUUGGCCAGAGACCGAUAGCGCACAAGUAGAGUGAUCGAAAGAUGAAAAGCACUUUSAMAAGAGGGUUAAAUAGCACGUGAAAUUGUUGAAAGGGAAGGAUUUGUGACCAGACUUUUUCUGGGCGGAUCAUCCGGGGUUCUSUCCGGUGCACUUUSCCCAGUAAAGGCCAGCAUCGAUUUUCGGYGGCGGAUAAAAGCAGUGGGAAUGUGGCUCCCCACGGGGAGUGUUAUAGCCCAUUGUAUAAUWCGCUGCUGGGGAUCGAGGUACGCGCUUCUGCAAGGAUGCWGGCGUAAUGGUUAUCAAUCACCCGUCUUKAAACACGSACCAAGGAGUCGAACAUUUAUGCGAGUGUKUGGGUGUUAAACCCUCMCGCGUAAKGAAAGUGAACGGAGGYGAGAGCCCGUACGGGUGCAUCAUCGACCGAUCCUGAWGUUUUCGGAUGGAUUUGAGUAAGAGCAUAASKGUYCGGACCCGAAAGAWGGUGAACUAUGCGUGGAUAGGGUGAAGCCAGAGGAAACUCUGGUGGAGGCUCGCAGCGGUUCUGACGUGCAAAUCGAUCGUCAAAUCUGCGCAUGGGGGCGAAAGACUAAUCGAACCAUCUAGUAGCUGGUUACCGCGAAA